rnacentral:rRNA from 1 species
UACGAAGGGGGCUAGCGUUGCUCGGAUUUACUGGGCGUAAAGGGCGCGUAGGCGGACAGUUUAGUCAGAGGUGAAAGCCCGGGGCUCAACCCCGGAAUUGCCUUUGAUACUGGUUGUCUUGAGUUUGGGAGAGGUAUGCGGAACUCCGAGUGUAGAGGUGAAAUUCGUAGAUAUUCGGAAGAACACCAGUGGCGAAGGCGGCAUACUGGCCCAAUACUGACGCUGAGGCGCGAAAGCGUGGGGAGCAAACAGG